rnacentral:rRNA from 1 species
GAUGAACGCUGGCGGCGUGCCUAAUACAUGCAAGUCGAGCGAACAGACGAGGAGCUUGCUCCUCUGACGUUAGCGGCGGACGGGUGAGUAACACGUGGAUAACCUACCUAUAAGACUGGGAUAACUUCGGGAAACCGGAGCUAAUACCGGAUAAUAUAUUGAACCGCAUGGUUCAAUAGUGAAAGACGGUUUUGCUGUCAGUAAUAGAUGGAUCCGCGCCGCAUUAGCUAGUUGGUAAGGUAACGGCUUACCAAGGCAACGAUGCGUAGACGACCUGAGAGGGUGAUCGGCCACACUGGAACUGAGACACGGUCCAGACUCCGGCGGGAGGCAGCAGUAGGGAAUCUUCCGCAAUGGGCGAAAGCCUGACGGAGCAAAGCCGCGUGAGUGAUGAAGGUCUUCGGAUCGUAAAACUCUGUUAUUAGGGAAGAACAAAUGUGUAAGUAACUAUGCACGUAUUGACGGUACCUAAUCAGAAAGCCACGGCUAACUACGUG